AUAUUGCGCACGAACCAUUCGACUAAAGCUGGCGUAAUGUCAGAUCGAAUACCACUUGAUAUUUCUGCUGGGUUUUCUGCCUGUGAUAUCCAUCCCGUGCUAAGGCUUCCACUUGACAAGCUGCUGGCCUUAGCCUUCACUAAGUCAAUGGAAAAAAUUUUGCUUGCUGGACGAUGAACAGCAACCGCAGACGGAUAGGCGUGCCGUGGAGCUAUUUCUUCGCGUGCGCGCAAUGCUUCUUCAAGCGGCCUGGGAGCAGAGAACGAAGUGGAAUCGAGCGGAGAGAUACGACCAUUUUCUCCUCCCCGUCCCACAGCUAGCUGCGGCUGUGACUGAUGGCCAUGCUGCUCAUCAUUCUCGUCACCGGCAGCAGCUUAGGCACAUGCUUCUCACUGGAUUAUACGCCCAACGGGCGUAGGGGUCGCGAUGCCGGGUGGUUGCGGCCAUCACGCGGCGCGCGGAUUUUGGUUUGUAUUUUACUUGCCCGGUUGUUGGAUUCACAGAGCUGCUACAAUUUCUCAAGCUAGUAUAACUAGUGAUCCAUAUGA
rnacentral:lncRNA from 1 species